rnacentral:rRNA from 1 species
UACGGGGGGGGCAAGCGUUGCUCGGAAUUACUGGGCGUAAAGCGCGUGUAGGUGGUCACGCAAGUCAGGUGUGAAAGCCCAGGGCUCAACCCUGGAAGUGCACAUGAUACUACGUGGCUGGAGUACUGAAGAGGAGAGCGGAAUUCCCGGUGUAGAGGUGAAAUUCGUAGAUAUCGGGAGGAACACCAGUGGCGAAGGCGGCUCUCUGGGCAGAUACUGACACUGAGACGCGAAAGCGUGGGUAGCAAACAGG